CAGCUAUGGGAGUAGCCCCAAUAGCAGCUAUGGGAGCAGCUCCAAUAGCAGCUAUGGGAGCAGCUCCAAUAGCAACAUGGUCUAUAAGCGGGAGGGGAAAACUGACGAGUCACAACAGGUUCCUUUCGUUGCGUGGCGAGGAGAUUAAACUCAGCUUUCAAUUUGUGUGAACUGAAACAUAUACGCUUCAACAUUACAACGUCCUCUUUUAAGCAGUUUUUUAACAGUUCCGAAUACUCAGACAACCCGCUGAGCGACUGGACCAUACGGGGGACAAGCUGGCAGGUGGACCAUUCCUACGACGUUGGAGAAGCAUAGAUCUGCCUCUUGAUUUGAAUGCUGAUUCAUUGACAAGUACAACGAGCGAGGAUUUAACCCACCCAACAUGUUGUCCAGUUAUGGAAUGCCAUUGGGGACUAAACCGUCUGGGAAUAUACGGCUCGAUUCAACCAAAUGGACCACGUCAAGAAAGACGUGUUGGCGGGACCCACAUUUAACGUCUUCUGACGUUCCAAUCAAAAUGUAACGAAUGGCUUUUAUGGUCGAUUGUCAACUAGGAUGAACUACAGCCUAAUUAUACUUCAAACAAAACUAUAGUUUUGUUUUAGUUUUUAGUCAGUAGCUCUGAACCUUACUAAGCACCUUGUCAAAAUAAUCUGUAACUAAGUCUAUCUCGCAUGUCUGAUCUUUUUUUGACCACAAGGUGAUUCUAUCUAUGCCUCUUCUUGAAAUGCAUCAUGUUUUAGUCGGCAGAGGCUUGUAAUGCUGCAUAGCAUGAUAAGCAUGAUAAGGUGCAAGGAGCAGAAAAAGUUAACAUGGGUUCUAAAAAAUAGUAAUAUUUUUUAUUAUAUAAGCUGAUGAAGCUGACACGUGACCAAUGUUUACUGUAUACAAAUAUUUGUAAUUAAAUGCAAACCCCAGUGAAUCAUUUACUCUUGUUUCUCUGUUUUGAGAUUCACACAGACUUAGCAGUCUUGUUUAAAUGUUACAAAUUGAGUUAAUAAAAUGAAUUUGGAAAUAGUUUUAAGUGUUGCAGAAGUUAUCUACGCUAAUUUUUCUAUUUCAAUACAGGGAUGGAUCCCAGGGGGGGAAUGACAGAAAAUUAUUGAGAAUCACUGGUCUAGAACAUGUUGUACUUGUUGAUUAGCUCAUGUUGUUAUGGCAAUGAAAACGCCCUCAGCUGAUAAAAUAAUGCCAGCGGUUGUUUUUUUUACUGAAAAAUAGCACCCUUUGUUUUUGCAUCAGAAGAUUUAUAAAAAUGUAUGGGUCCCUGAAAGUGUGACAACAUAGUUUAGUGCUCCCGAAAAAGUGGUAUGUUUCUCAUAUUAUUGAUCUGGUACAUGUUGUACCAUUGUGUUUCAGCAACUGUCAAUAAAAAAAAAAGGGAAAAUAUGGU